rnacentral:rRNA from 1 species
GACGUAGGAUGCAAGCGUUGUCCGGAAUUAUUGGGCGUAAAGAGUUCGUAGGCGGUUACUUAAGUCUGGUGUUAAAGACGGGAGCUCAACUCCCGCAUGGCAUUGGAAACUGGGUGGCUAGAGUGUGGUAGAGGUCUCGGGAAUUCCAGGUGUAGCGGUGAAAUGCGCAGAUAUCAGGAGGAACACCGAUGGCGAAGGCAGGUCUCUGGGCCAUAACUGACGCUGAGAAGCGAAAGCAUGGGGAGCGAACAGG